rnacentral:rRNA from 1 species
CAGGCCUAACACAUGCAAGUCGAGCGAGAAAGUAUCUUCGGAUAUGAGUAGAGCGGCGGACGGGUGAGUAACGCGUAGGAAUCUACCUAGUAGAAGGGGAUAGCCCGGGGAAACUCGGAUUAAUACCGUAUACCUCCUAAGGGAGAAAGAGGGCCUCUCUUGAUGCUCUCGCUAUUAGAUGAGCCUGCGUAAGAUUAGCUUGUUGGUAAGGUAAUGGCUUACCAAGGCUACGAUCUUUAGCUGGUCUGAGAGGACGAUCAGCCACAUUGGGACUGAGACACGGCCCAGACUCCUACGGGAGGCAGCAGUGGGGAAUAUUGGACAAUGGGCGCAAGCCUGAUCCAGCCAUACCGCGUGUGUGAAGAAGGCCUUCGGGUUGUAAAGCACUUUAAGCAGGGAGAAAAAGUUAUAAGUUAAUACCUUAUAACCGUGAUGUUACCUGCAGAAUAAGCACCGGCUAAUUCCGUGCCAGCAGCCGCGGUAAUACGGAAGGUGCAAGCGUUAAUCGGAAUUACUGGGCGUAAAGCGCGCGUAGGUGGUUUGUUAAGUUGGAUGUGAAAGCCCUGGGCUCAACCUAGGAACUGCAUCCAAAACUAACUCACUAGAGUACGAUAGAGGGAGGUAGAAUUCAUAGUGUAGCGGUGGAAUG